AGCCCCCCUCAAGAUGAGAUUUCCCAAUUAGUAAGACCCCUUGAAGACGACGAGGUAGAUAGGUUGGAGGUGGAAGCACAGCAAUGUGUGGAGCUGACCAAUACUAAUCGGUCGAGGGCUUAUCCUAUUU
rnacentral:rRNA from 1 species